AGUGAACGCUGGCGGUAGGCCUAACACAUGCAAGUCGAACGGCAGCACAGUAAUAGCUUGCUCUUACGGGUGGCGAGUGGCGGACGGGUGAGGAAUACAUCGGAAUCUACUUUUUCGUGGGGGAUAACGUAGGGAAACUUACGCUAAUACAGCAUACGACCUACGGGUGAAAGCAGCGUAUCUUCGGACCUUGCGCGAUUGAAUGAGCCGAUGUCGGAUUAGCUAGUUGGCGGGGUAAAGGCACACCAAGGCGACGAUCCGUAGCUGGUCUGAGAGGAUGAGCAGCCACACUGGAACUGAGACACGGUCCAGACUCCUACGGGAGGCAGCAGUGGGGAAUAUUGGACAAUGGGCGCAAGCCUGAGCCAGCCAUACCGCGUCGGUGAAGAAGGCCUUCGGGUUGUAAAGCCCUUUUGUUGGGAAAGAAAAGCAGCAGGUUAAUACCCCGCUGUUCUGACGGUACCCAAAGAAUAAGCACCGGCUAACUUCGUG
rnacentral:rRNA from 1 species